rnacentral:lncRNA from 7 species
AUUGUUGGAGUUGUUUGGACAUCACAAAGGCAGGACAAAAGAACGAGAGCCCAAAUGCAGCCAGCCAGCUGAGAGCACACUGCUGCUCCUGCAAAGCUCUUCAAGGAGAAAUGCUGACACAGCCAUUUCCGGCACUAUUUGCUGCUGCAAGGAAUACUUAAGAAAAGCAAAGAUCAAGAAGGAAAAUGAUAUAUUAAGGAACACGAUGGCAGCAACAGCUUCUCAGUAGGAAUGCAAUGGGCACAUUAGCUUUGCUUCCCACACAGGUGAGAUCCAAGGUAAACACGAAGUGAUUGUGUGUGCAGAUUUCCUGGAGUCUUUGAAAUGAGUGCGUUUCAGAGCAGGGUUUCCAGAUGCUGCAAUUAAAUCUUGAAAGGUUCUCUAAAACAUUGAUGAAUCUUUACAAGGGAAUGCAAAUCAGCACAGCUAAGUGGGAAAGUGGAACUUUUUUUUUUUGUGUGCUCUCAGCACUUUGCUGUGCUUGUUUCUAAUACAUAAGAGCAACGUUCAUGCUGAUCGUGUGAUAUUAUUUCACUGUCACUUCUUAAUACCCGAUUAAGCUCAAACAUUUGGCUAUUCUUGACCACACAAACUCAUGCUGCAGUGGAGGGAGUUAUUAAAAUGAAGCCCUCAUUGUGUUACAUAGGACAGUUUAACCACUGCUUCUAGAAAGUUAUCAAAAGGACACGUCUUGCAGUAAGCUUGAAAAUACUCCAAGUACUGAAGGACAAGGAGGCAGCGCUGUGUUCAGUAGACACCUUUCUGGCUCUAUCUUGGAUUUGUUUGCAGACUUAAUGGGAUAAAUUAUGCCCAUCUUCCAUCGUGGAUGAAGAGUUCCUGGUGCAUCCCCACGUUCUUCACAGUGUGUCAUUUCAUUGCUGUCAUCACACGAGAUCAGGACAAGAAAUGGGAGCAGAGGUAGAGGACCGCUGAUGUGGCAUCAUUAACUUCCUAGAGCUGCUGUAGCUUGCAGAGCUUGGCUCCUGCCUGCUAGUUGCUUCAGCAGAGCCCUUCCCUGGGUUUUUUUUAUGUUUUUUUUUUUUGUCUCCAAAACCUCCAGGAUCCCUUUUUAUGGGAUGUGUGACUUUUUCCAUAGUGCACUCCAGCAGAGCUGCUUUGAUCCUGCCUACCAGAAAGAUGACCCGCAGAUCUUAAAAGCUGUUUGCUCAGGUGUGUCCCCUUUUGAUUCCACGAAAUGCUUCAUUUCUCAGUCUUUCUUCUUUAUUUAAGGAGAGAGAUUAUGCAAGUGAAUUUCCACAACGGGUUUUAUUUGGCUCCGAGUACUUUAUUGACUUGAUUGCGGUGCUGCUGAUACUUUUCCUUCAAUAGGGCAGUUGUGACAGGUUGGAGCACCUAAUUCGUGCAUGCAGACUGACCAGAAAAUGAGGAAAAUGCAACAGCUGGAGAAAUCCAGCUCCUUCCAGGCUGAAUGGUUUCCUUCCACAGAUUCUUCCAAGUCACAGCCCCUUCUUAUGGGACACGGCUCGAUGAGAAAAUGUGUGCCCUGUGAAAUAAAAGGAUUAGG